CUGUCCCAGAGUCGCCAACGGAUUGUCUGCCUCAACUCCCUCAAGGCUAAUGUGCAGGUAACCACCAUCGACCUCUCAGCUUCUCUAGUUCUGAACACCUGUAUCAUUCACUACCGACACCAGGAAUUCUCUCACUGGCUACUUAUGCUAGCACUGGAGACCCAAGGUGCUAGUUCUCCUGAUCUUAAACAAAGGAAGAAAGGAACCUUCCCUCAGAUCCUGGCUCCCGUUAUCUUCAGCACCUCAGUCUCCAAUGUUAGCAUUUCCAUUCAGCUUGGAGAUACACCACCUUUUGCUUUGGGGUUCAAUUCCAUCUCCCUGG
rnacentral:lncRNA from 1 species